UAGGGAAUCUUCGGCAAUGGACGAAAGUCUGACCGAGCAACGCCGCGUGAGUGAAGAAGGUUUUCGGAUCGUAAAACUCUGUUGUUAGAGGAACAAGGACGUUAGUAACUGAACGUCCCCUGACGGUAUCUAACCAGAAAGCCACGGCUAACUACGUGCCAGCAGCCGCGGUAAUACGUAGGUGGCAAGCGUUGUCCGGAUUUAUUGGGCGUAAAGCGAGCGCAGGCGGUUUCUUAAGUCUGAUGUGAAAGCCCCCGGCUCAACCGGGGAGGGUCAUUGGAAACUGGGAGACUUGAGUGCAGAAGAGGGGAGUGGAAUUCCAUGUGUAGCGGUGAAAUGCGUAGAUAUAUGGAGGAACACCAGUGGCGAAGGCGGCUCUCUGGUCUGUAACUGACGCUGAGGCUCGAAAGCGUGGGGAGCAAACAGG
rnacentral:rRNA from 1 species